UCGAUUCCCUUAGUAGCGGCGAGCGAAACGGGAAGAGCCCAAACCAACAAGCUUGCUUGUUGGGGUUGUAGGACACUCUAUACGGAGUUACAAAGGACGACAUUAGACGAAUCAUCUGGAAAGAUGAAUCAAAGAAGGUAAUAAUCCUGUAGUCGAAAAUGUUGUCUCUCUUGAGUGGAUCCUGAGUACGACGGAGCACGUGAAAUUCCGUCGGAAUCUGGGAGGACCAUCUCCUAAGGCUAAAUACUCUCUAGUGACCGAUAGUGAACCAGUACCGUGAGGGAAAGGUGAAAAGCACCCCGGAAGGGGAGUGAAAUAGAACCUGAAACCGUGUGCUUACAAGUAGUCAGAGCCCGUUAAUGGGUGAUGGCGUGCCUUUUGUAGAAUGAACCGGCGAGUUACGAUUUGAUGCAAGGUUAAGCAGUAAAUGUGGAGCCGUAGCGAAAGCGAGUCUGAAUAGGGCGUUUAGUAUUUGGUCGUAGACCCGAAACCAGGUGAUCUACCCUUGGUCAGGUUGAAGUUCAGGUAACACUGAAUGGAGGACCGAACCGACUUACGUUGAAAAGUGAGCGGAUGAACUGAGGGUAGCGGAGAAAUUCCAAUCGAACCUGGAGAUAGCUGGUUCUCUCCGAAAUAGCUUUAGGGCUAGCCUCAAGUGAUGAUUAUUGGAGGUAGAGCACUGUUUGGACGAGGGGCCCCUCUCGGGUUACCGAAUUCAGACAAACUCCGAAUGCCAAUUAAUUUAACUUGGGAGUCAGAACAUGGGUGAUAAGGUCCGUGUUCGAAAGGGAAACAGCCCAGACCACCAGCUAAGGUCCCAAAAUAUAUGUUAAGUGGAAAAGGAUGUGGCGUUGCCCAGACAACUAGGAUGUUGGCUUAGAAGCAGCCAUCAUUUAAAGAGUGCGUAAUAGCUCACUAGUCGAGUGACACUGCGCCGAAAAUGUACCGGGGCUAAACAUAUUACCGAAGCUGUGGAUUGUCCUUUGGACAAUGGUAGGAGAGCGUUCUAAGGGCGUUGAAGCAUGAUCGUAAGGACAUGUGGAGCGCUUAGAAGUGAGAAUGCCGGUGUGAGUAGCGAAAGACGGGUGAGAAUCCCGUCCACCGAUUGACUAAGGUUUCCAGAGGAAGGCUCGUCCGCUCUGGGUUAGUCGGGUCCUAAGCUGAGGCCGACAGGCGUAGGCGAUGGAUAACAGGUUGAUAUUCCUGUACCACCUAUAAUCGUUUUAAUCGAUGGGGGGACGCAGUAGGAUAGGCGAAGCGUGCGAUUGGAUUGCACGUCUAAGCAGUAAGGCUGAGUAUUAGGCAAAUCCGGUACUCGUUAAGGCUGAGCUGUGAUGGGGA
rnacentral:rRNA from 1 species